rnacentral:rRNA from 1 species
GACGUAGGUGGCGAACGUUAUCCGGAAUUAUUGGGCGUAAAGGAUGCGUAGAUGGUGUAGUAAGUUAUCGGUGGUAAAUCGAGGCUCAACCUCGUGGAAGUCGGUAAUACUGCUAUGCUAGAGGAUAGGAGAGGUUAACGGAACUCCCUGUGGAGCGGUGAAAUGCGUAGAUAUAGGGAAGAACACCAAUCAGGCGAAGGCAGUUAACUAUUCUAUUCCUGACAUUAAGGCAUGAAAGCGUGGGGAGCAAAACGG